AUGAAACCCUGUCCAAAAAUGGAAGGAAGGCCAGAAAAUAGUGAACCAAAUUUUGAGGAAAAGCCAGAGGAGGAGGAAAAUGCAGAAGGAACUUUUAGAGAAAGCUAAUUCCAUCUCUCCAGAAUAUAAAGAUGUACAUAAGAGGCAUUUAAGCAAUGAAGAUAUGUUUAGAGAAGUGGAUGAAAUAGACGAGAUAAGGAGAGUAAGAAACAAACUUAUAGGGAUGUACUGGAAAAUUGAUCAAAACCAUCCUUGCCCCUAUUUAAUG
rnacentral:lncRNA from 10 species